rnacentral:rRNA from 1 species
ACGGGAAGAGCCCAAACCAACAAGCUUGCUUGUUGGGGUUGUAGGACACUCUAUACGGAGUUACAAAGGACGACAUUAGACGAAUCAUCUGGAAAGAUGAAUCAAAGAAGGUAAUAAUCCUGUAGUCGAAAAUGUUGUCUCUCUUGAGUGGAUCCUGAGUACGACGGAGCACGUGAAAUUCCGUCGGAAUCUGGGAGGACCAUCUCCUAAGGCUAAAUACUCUCUAGUGACCGAUAGUGAACCAGUACCGUGAGGGAAAGGUGAAAAGCACCCCGGAAGGGGAGUGAAAUAGAACCUGAAACCGUGUGCUUACAAGUAGUCAGAGCCCGUUAAUGGGUGAUGGCGUGCCUUUUGUAGAAUGAACCGGCGAGUUACGAUUUGAUGCAAGGUUAAGCAGUAAAUGUGGAGCCGUAGCGAAAGCGAGUCUGAAUAGGGCGUUUAGUAUUUGGUCGUAGACCCGAAACCAGGUGAUCUACCCUUGGUCAGGUUGAAGUUCAGGUAACACUGAAUGGAGGACCGAACCGACUUACGUUGAAAAGUGAGCGGAUGAACUGAGGGUAGCGGAGAAAUUCCAAUCGAACCUGGAGAUAGCUGGUUCUCUCCGAAAUAGCUUUAGGGCUAGCCUCAAGUGAUGAUUAUUGGAGGUAGAGCACUGUUUGGACGAGGGGCCCCUCUCGGGUUACCGAAUUCAGACAAACUCCGAAUGCCAAUUAAUUUAACUUGGGAGUCAGAACA